GUCUGCAAGGACGUUGCCCAGGGGACACCCGGAUGUUUUGAUGUUUUACCAUCCUUGUGGGAGGCUUCUCUCAUGUCCCCGCAUGGAGCUGGAGCUGAUAGAGGGAGCUCAUCCGCGCUCUCCCCGGGUGGGAUUCGAACCUGGCAGCCUUCAGGGGGGAAACCAGGAGGCAGGACCAAGAUCAGAUCUACCUUUCUGCUCAAGCAAAGUCCCGCUGAACCAGGAAACAUCCUUCUCUACAGAUAAGAAAGAGCCAAUGGUCCAGAAGUAA
rnacentral:lncRNA from 11 species